rnacentral:rRNA from 1 species
GACGAACGCUGGCGGCGUGCUUAACACAUGCAAGUCGAACGGAUUGCUUGGUGCUUGCACUGAGUGGUUAGUGGCGAACGGGUGAGUAACACGUGAGUAACCUGCCCCCUUCUUUGGGAUAAGCACCUGAAAGGGUGUCUAAUACUGAUUAUUCUGCUGGAAUCGCAUGGUUUUGGUUGGAAAGGUUUUUCUGGUGGGGGAUGGGCUCGCGGCUUAUCAGCUUGUUGGUGGGGUAAUGGCUUACCAAGGCUUUGACGGGUAACCGGCCUGAGAGGGUGACCGGUCACAUUGGGACUGAGAUACGGCCCAGACUCCUACGGGAGGCAGCAGUGGGGAAUAUUGCACAAUGGACGGAAGUCUGAUGCAGCGACGCCGCGUGAGGGAUGAAGGCCUUCGGGUUGUAAACCUUUUUCGCUUUUGACCAAGGCAGCAUUUGGUGUUGUUGAGGGUAUGAGGUAAAGAAGCUCCGGCUAACUACGUGCCAGCAGCCGCGGUAAAAUGCGUACU